UCGAGGUAGCUUGCUACCGAGAGGACAGCGGCGAAAGGGAGAGUAACACGUAGGUACGUACCUCUAGACCCGGGAUAGCGUCGGGAAACUGGCAGUAAUACCGGAUAAUGUCUCCGGACUAAAGGUGUGAUUCCGUCUAGAGAGCGGCCUGCGUCUUGUUAGGUUGUUGGUGGGGUAAUGGCUCACCAAGCCGAAGAUGGGUACCGGGUGUGAGAGCAUGGCCCGGCUCACUGGGACUGAGACACUGCCCAGACACCUACGGGUGGCUGCAGUCGAGAAUCUUCCGCAAUGGACGAAAGUCUGACGGAGCGACGCCGCGUGCGGGACGAAGGCCCUCGGGUUGUAAACCGCUGUCAGUUGGGAGGAAAUCACAUGGGGCUAUCCCCAUGUGUUGACCGAUCUUCAGAGGAAGCGCAGGCUAAGUUCGUGCCAGCAGCCGCGGUAACACGAACUGCGCAAACGUUAUUCGGAAUUACUGGGCUUAAAGAGUUCGUAGGCGGUCUAUCAGGUGAGGUGUGAAAGCCCUCGGCUCAACCGAGGAAUUGCGCUUCAAACCGGUAGACUUGAGGGAGGCAGAGGUGAGUGGAACUGAUGGUGGAGCGGUGAAAUGCGUUGAUAUCAUCAGGAACACCAGUGGCGAAGGCGACUCACUGGGCCUCUUCUGACGCUGAGGAACGAAAGCUAGGGGAGCGAACGGGGAUUAGAUACCCCGGUAGUCCUAGCUGUAAACCUUUGAGCACUAUAUCGAGGGGGCUCC
rnacentral:rRNA from 1 species